GCAUUUCUUAGUGCUUGUGUUCCUGAGUGUAGGUUCUGAGCUAUUAGGUUACUACAGACUACAGAGAUACAACGUGAAAUCUCCACCUCUUUAUGGUGAGGGUCUCUCCCGUAUGUACCCUCAGCCCACAGGAGAGAGAGGUACAUGGGAUGGCACAUGUGGCACAACUGGACUCCUUUGGGCUUCAGUGAUCCAACCUCUCAUCACAGUGGACAUUGGCUGAGCACAUCUGAUGUCCUCAUUAUCCAAGUUGGCCUGGGGAGGAAUUGCUGCCUAAGGAUGCCAGUGGAAACAUUAUUUUUGAUACUGUGGAUCUUCGUGACACAUGGGAGGCCCUGGAGAAGUGCAAAGAAGCAGGUUUAACCAAGUCCAUCGGGGUGUCCAAUUUCAAUCACAAACUGCUGGAACUCAUCCUCAACAAGCCAGGGCUCAAGUACAAGCCCACCUGCAACCAGGUGGAAUGUCACCCUUACCUCAACUAGAGCAAACUCCUGGAGUUCUGCAAGUCCAAGGACAUUGUUCUAGUUGCCUACAGGGCCCUGGCAUCUCACAGAGACCCAAACUGGUAAUAAGAGUAUCGAAGAGUUAAUCUAUAUCAGCAACUCUAUUGAUUAAGAAACUUUUAGCAUUUCAUUCUAGAUCAAGUCAAACAUAGAACAGUGAACACAACGGUGCAGUGAAUUCCCAUGUGACACCACUGAGCUUCAAUGUCACCAACAUUCCUUCCCUCCUGUUUCAUUUGUAUAUCUGCCUUCUCCCAACCCCACUCCAAAUACAAUUUCAAAGUGAUUUGAAGGUGAAAUUUACAUAGACUGUAAUGCAUAUACGUUAGCUGUACAAUUUUGAUAAAUGAAUGUACUUUGUAAUCCACAUUAUUGUCAUGAUAUGGAAACUUUCUCCCAAAAAUGUUAAUUGGUGUUCCUUCUGAGACAAUUCCUCCCCACCUCUAGGCAACUAUGUUCAUAACGUUUUCGGUCUUAGAUUAGUUUUGUCUGCUGUAGUACUUUAUGUAAAGAAGUCAUAUAUAUUCUUUGGUGUAGCUUCUUUUGCUCAACCUGUCUGUGACAUUCAUUCCUGUAGUUGCAGGUGUCUGUUCUUUCCAUUUUACUGCUGGGAAAUAUUCCAUUAUAUGGACAUGUACACCACAAGUUGUUUAUCCAUUCACCUAUUGAUGGGCAGUUUAGUUGUUUCCAGUUUGCCACAAUUGCGAAUAAAUCUCUAUGAAUAUUUAUGAGACACCUUGAAACAUA
rnacentral:lncRNA from 1 species